CAGGCCCACCGGCCGGAACCUCAAGCAUCCUAAGUUUACUGCCAGCUCCAAACAUCAACUUAUCCCAUGGCCAUCUGAUCCUGAACAUCAACACCAGCUUUAGGAGGAAACCAAGAUGGCGGCAUAGGUA